UCUACCCUAGGGUGGGGAAUAACUCCUCGAAAGGGGAGCUAAUGCCGACAUGUGCACCACUUUCGCAAGGAAGUGAUGGAAAGCCGUACCGUGGGUGCGGCGCCCAAGGAUGAGCUCACGUCCUAUCAGCUUGUUGGCGGGGUAACGGCCCACCAAGGCUGCGACGGGUAGCUGGUCUGAGAGGACGACCAGCCACACUGGCACUGCGACACGGGCCAG
rnacentral:rRNA from 1 species